AAAAAAAUGAAAAAAAGAAAGAAGGAAAGAAAAUGACAGAGGAAGCAACAAAGAAACCAAUACCUUUGCUUUUUUCUCCGAUCAAUUAUUGUCUCCGCGUGAAUUGAUAAUUGACCCCACCAUUGUCAGCACUUGUAGACAGCUUUCUCAGUUUGUGAAACGACCACCACAACUUGAAAAUUUCCUUUCAUUUCUAUUCAAGAAGUUAAACUCUCUUUCAUUCUAUCUUUCAUCUAUUGUUUCCUUUCUUAAGAAAAAGAUAACAAUGGCUAUCGGAGAAGUUUUUAUUGGCGCACUAAUUACUGUUUUGCUUGAGAAGUUGGUCUCUGGCGAGCUAAUGAAAUUCCUGCAUGGUGUAGGAAUCGACUCCCAGCUGAAAGAAUGGCGUAAGAAAUUGUUGAUGAUGGAAGCAGUGCUUACUGAUGCUGAAAACAAACAAACAACAAACGGAGCUGUGAAGGAGUGGCUGAAGGAUCUGGAGGAUUUGGCUUAUGAUCUGGAUGACUUAGUGGAUGAGUUGAACACUGAAGCUACCCGGCGCAAAAUAAAGGAAAAUCACGAAGCCAACAGGCCAAGCACUAGUAUGGUACGGAAGCUUAUUCCUUCUUGUUGUACUAAUUUCUCUUUCCAUGAUUUUAUGUCUGAUCGCGGGAUGGCUUCCAAGCUGAAUGAAAUUAGUGGUCGAUUGGAAGAUCUAUUCAAACAGAUUAGUAUACUCAGUUUGGUCGAGAAUGUGAGAGGGAGGCCUUAUAGAACAACAGAAAGAUUGGAUCUGACUUCAGUUGUUGAAGAAUCUGGAGUAUAUGGCAGGGAAAAAGACAGAGAGACUAUAAUCAAUAUGUUGUUGGGGGGAGAAUCAAGUGAUAUUCCAAUAUCUGUGAUUCCAAUAGUGGGCAUGGGAGGUGUCGGCAAAACAACUCUUGCACAACUUGUGUACAAUGAUGAUCGAUUAAAGGACGAAUUUGAUCUGAAGGCGUGGGCUUGCGUUUCAGAUCAAUUUGAUGCUUCAACGGUUACAAAAACCAUUCUUAAACAGGUUUCCCCUGGAAGGUAUGACGAUCAUGAUUUUAACACGCUUCAGGUGAAACUAAAGCAAAAUCUGUCAAACAAGAAAUUUCUGUUAGUUUUAGAUGAUGUUUGGAACGAAUAUUAUGAAUAUUGGGACAUCCUGAAGCAUCCAUUCCUGGCUAGCAAACUUGGAAGCAAAAUCAUCGUAACAACUCGUCAGCGUUCGGUGGCGAAAAUCAUGUCUCAUAGUCCAGCUUAUGAUUUGAAUGUGUUGUCGGGUACUGAUGCUUUAUCAUUGUUAGCUCAACAUGCACUUGAAGCCAAAACUUUUGAUGCACGUCCAGAUCUAAGAGAUAUUGGUAAGGCCGUGGUGGAAAAAUGUGGAAACUUGCCACUGGCACUAAAGGCACUUGGAGGGCUUCUGCGGACAAUGGGUAGUCCUAAUGAAUGGGAGGAUGUAUUGAAUAGUGAGAAUUGGAUGGCAGAAGACAAAAGUAAAAUUCUUCCUUCUUUAAAACUGAGUUACCAAUAUCUGCGUCCACAACUGAAAAGAUGCUUUGCUUAUUGUGCUCUGUUUCCUAAAGACUUCGAGUUUGACAAGUCCAAGCUAGUGUACCUUUGGAUAGCAGAAGGUUUUUUACAAGUAUCACAAAGAGAGAUGCUAACACAAGUAGGCAGUAAAUAUUUCGACGAACUGUUUGCGAGAUCAUUCUUCCAAAGAUCAAGUGCCAAUGCUUCAUAUUAUGUGAUGCAUGAUCUCCUUAACGAUCUAGCUACAUUUGUUGAUGGAGAAAAAUGUUUGAGGAUGGACGAUGAGUUGAAGGAAAAUCUUCCCAGCAGCAUAUCUGGAAAUGUCCGUCACUUGUCAUUCAUUCCCCAUCAAUAUGAAAUGUACCAAAGAUUUAAUUUUCUGAAGAAAGUUCGAAGCUUAAGAACAUUUUUACGCUUACCGUGUCCGCGGUGGUAUCCUGAAAGAUUCUUUCCCGACAAAGUUUCGGUUGAAAUAUUGCCGAAAUUGCACUGCUUAAGAGUUCUAUCAUUAAGUGGUUAUACGAUAUAUGAGUUGCCAAAUUCUAUUGGUGAUUUAAAACAUCUACGGUACCUAGACCUAGCUGAAACUUUAUUGAAGUGCUUGCCUGAAUCUGUGAGCAACCUUAUCAAUUUACAAGUGUUGAUUCUAAGAGGAUGCUACAAACUUACAAAAUUACCUGCCAGCAUGGAAAACCUCAUUAAUCUUUUCUAUCUGGACAUUGCUGGUACUCGUGAAUUAAAUGAGAUGCCUCAAGGAAUCGCUCAACUAAAAAGUUUGCAGACAUUACCCAAGAUGAUUGUGAGCAAAAGCAGUGGGAUGAGGUUAAAGGAUUUGGGGAAUCUAUCACUUCUACAAGGUAAAAUUUCUAUUGAGGAAUUGCAAAAUGUGGUAAAUGUUCAGGAAGCAAUUGACGCAAGACUAACGUCUAAUCCAAGCCUUAACGAAGUAAGGUUGGCAUGGAAUGGCGAGUUUGGUGAUUCCCGAAAUGAAAUUCUAGAAUUUGACGUGCUUAAUGCUUUAGAGCCUCAUUAUAACUUAAAAAGUCUUGAAAUUGAUUGUUAUGGAGGUUCAAAAUUCUCUAAUUGGAUUGGAGAUUUAUCAUUCAGUAAGUUGGAAAAGAUAAGCUUCAGUUUUUGUGGAAAUUGCAUUACUUUACCAUCAUUAGGGCAACUACCUUCCCUAAGAGAAUUGAGCAUUAGAUGGAUGGAUCGAAUAAAAGUGAUAGGAGCCGAAUUUUAUGGAGAUAAAGGCCUUUUUCCAGAGCUAGAGAGGCUGACUAUUGAGGACAUGCUAGAUUGGGCGGAAUGGCUUGGAUUAACACAUGAAGUAGAAGGUGUUGUCAGAUUUCCUCAGCUCUCUAAAUUGUGCAUACAACGAUGUCCCAAAUUGGUCAAGAUACCGAUUCCCUCACUGCCAUCCCUUUGUGAAUUGAGCAUUGGAGGGAUGGAUCGAGUAAAAGUGAUAGGAGCUGAAUUUUAUGGAGAUAAGGGCCCUUUUCCAGCGCUAGAGAGGCUGACUAUUGAGGACAUGCCAAAUUGGGAGGAAUGGCUUGGAUUAACACAUGAAGUAGAAGGUGUUAUCAGAUUUCCUCAGCUCUCUAAAUUGUGCAUACGAAAAUGUCCAAAAUUGGUCAAGUUACCAAUUCUCUCAUUGCCAUCCCUUCGUGAACUAAAAGUGAAAGCGUGUAAUGAGGUGGUGCUAAGUCACAUGCACAAUUUGGAAUCUUUAACCCAAUUAAAUUUGGAGAAAAUUUUCAGAUUGACUUCAGUUUCAAAAGCAUUUAUGCAGUUUCCUUUUGCACUUGAAAAUUUGGAAGUUUGUGAUUGUAACGACCUUGAGACUCUAUGGCCAAGUGAUCGUAUUGCUCAAAGCCUAGUCAACCUACGACGGCUGUCUGUUAACACGUGUCCUAAGCUCUUGACCCUUAGAGACAUUGAUGCUCUUCCAGUUCUUAGAGACCUUCGCAUACUGAAAUGUGAAUCUCUAGAGUUUGUUCCCAAUAGCAUAUCUUGUCUAAAAAGUUUAGAAAUCAGGAAUUGUUCCUCAUUGAAGACCAUGAUGAAGCUACAGGAUUGCAACACCUCACUUGAAUUUCUUUCGGUCGAAAUGAGGGUGAAUUUUAAUUUGACAAAUUUACUGGGAUCAGUUCACAAUUACACAAGUCUCCAUCGGCUACAUAUAUAUUUCUGUGAUGGUCUGGAGUCGUUUCCCCCUGGAGGCUUGCCCACUCCCAAUUUGAAAUGUCUUUUUACACAUGAUUGUCAACAAUUGAAGUCCUUACCGGAUCGGAUGGAACUAAUUUCAUCACUUGAAAGCUUGUUAGUAACGCGUUGUCCUUUAUUAGUAGAGCCCUUUCCCCAAAGGAAAUUUCCUCCAAAUCUGACGGAUCUUUCAUUCUGUAAUUGUGGGAAUCUAAAACCCCUGGGGGAGUGGGGCUUACACAAAAUCACCUCUCUUGAAAUAUUCCAAUUGAGUCUUUGCUAUCAAGAGCUGAUUUCCUUCUCUAAUGACGACAAUGAUGAUGAUAACAACCAUUUGCUUCCUCCAUCUAUAAGGAAAUUGAACUUGUUUGACUUUCCCAAUCUAGAAAGUCUAACAAAGGGCUUCCAAAACCUCACAUCACUUCGGCAUUUAUGGAUCUCCAGAUGUCCAAAACUUGUGGCGUUGCCUAUGGAAGACCAGCUCGACAGGCUUUGGAGUCUUCAUAUUGAUAAGUGCCCGCUUCUUAAAAAACGGUGUUUGAAGAACGAAGGAGACUACUGGAAAAUCAUCGCUGACAUUCCCGACAUUGAAAUUGAUUAGCGUUCCGUCCAUGAUCCAGAUCAAUGAUCAUGAAACCCUCAAGUAACAUAUACAAUUUGCUGAAACAAACAACACAAUUUCGACUUUCCAGAAGAAAUUAUAUCACGCGGUUAGUGUAGUAACUGCGGUUUCUUUAGCAAAUUAUUUGUUAAUUUUUUAGGAAAAUGCAUAUUUAUCAUAUAAUGAUGUAUAGUAAUUGAUAAUUAUACGUGACACAUUGUUUUAUUUCCAGUUCAUUGGAUAAUAAAUUUGAGAUGUUUUUAAUGAGAAACAUUUCACUUUAAAAUUUUUGUCAAGAACAAAGUGUGAUUGAUUCAGAUCAACGUCCAAUUUUGACUUUCCAAAAUAAACUGUAUCACCAGUUAGUGUAGUAAUUGCUGUUUCUUUAGGAAAUUAUUUGUUAAUUUUUCAGAAAUAUGCAUGUUUAUCAUAUAAUAAUGCAUGGUAAGUGAUAAUCAUGUGACACAUUGCUUUAUUUCCAGUUUAUUGGAUUCUAAAUUUGAUAUGUUUUUAAUGAGAAACAUUUCACUUUUAAAUUGUUUUGAAGCUUUUAUGUAGAACUCCAACUCCAAGUGUGUCAAGUUCAAUUAUUCAUUAUAUGCUUAGUUAAACGAAUGACUGUGACAUAGCCUACUUAGCUAGCUAUAAUCACGCAUAAACGUUUUACUUAAUCCAUUUCCUUUAUCCUAUGUUGUCAUAUAAUUCUGCUCAAACUCUGUUUUCCAGUUAGUUCCUACUGAAUUCUAUAUACUUUGUUACAGAAAUCAAUCAACUAAAAUUACUUUGUUACAGAAAUCAAUCAUUAUUAUUUUUCUCUCUUUAGUAGGAAACACAUACAAUUUAUGCACUCUCUCGUUGAGGUUUAUUAGUUGAUAAGUUUAUUUGCAAUACUUAUUAUCGUUUCUUGAUUUUGUGCAGUCUUUUCAUCAUUAGAAGCUCCAUGCUCGUUUAGAUGCAAAAACUUGAUGUUUCCGCUGGAAAGAGAAGCAAAAGUGAGAAUUCUAAUCCUCUUAUGAACACCUGAUUACUGUCUGACCGUCCAUUGCCAAACAAGUCGGAGGUUCGCAGAUUGAUUGUAUGAGCUCAUUAUUUCUUAAUCAUUAUUCUGUUCAUCGGUAUGCAAUUUACGAUUACCUGAGAAUGAAAUACUUUUAAUCUAAACUACUAUGUUCAUAUGGCAGUAGGGACUUCGCAGAUUGGUUGCUUCUUCUCUUUGGAUUCUGUAAUUGCAGAAAGCCAGGCAGAGGGACAAUAAACGUUUGUUAACUCUAAUGGGGAAAGUAAGUACAUACGAAACGUAUGCUAUUUUUCAUACAGCAAUA
rnacentral:lncRNA from 1 species